rnacentral:rRNA from 1 species
AGAGUUUGAUCCUGGCUCAGGACGAACGCUGGCGGCGUGCCUAAUACAUGCAAGUCGAACGAACUCUGGUAUUGAUUGGUGCUUGCAUCAUGAUUUACAUUUGAGUGAGUGGCGAACUGGUGAGUAACACGUGGGAAACCUGCCCAGAAGAGGGGGAUAACACCUGGAAACAGAUGCUAAUACCGCAUAACAACUUGGACCGCAUGGUCCGAGUUUGAAAGAUGGCUUCGGCUAUCACUUUUGGAUGGUCCCGCGGCGUAUUAGCUAGAUGGUGAGGUAACGGCUCACCAUGGCAAUGAUACGUAGCCGACCUGAGAGGGUAAUCGGCCACAUUGGGACUGAGACACGGCCCAAACUCCUACGGGAGGCAGCAGUAGGGAAUCUUCCACAAUGGACGAAAGUCUGAUGGAGCAACGCCGCGUGAGUGAAGAAGGGUUUCGGCUCGUAAAACUCUGUUGUUAAAGAAGAACAUAUCUGAGAGUAACUGUUCAGGUAUUGACGGUAUUUAACCAGAAAGCCACGGCUAACUACGUGCCAGCAGCCGCGGUAAUACGUAGGUGGCAAGCGUUGUCCGGAUUUAUUGGGCGUAAAGCGAGCGCAGGCGGUUUUUUAAGUCUGAUGUGAAAGCCUUCGGCUCAACCGAAGAAGUGCAUCGGAAACUGGGAAACUUGAGUGCAGAAGAGGACAGUGGAACUCCAUGUGUAGCGGUGAAAUGCGUAGAUAUAUGGAAGAACACCAGUGGCGAAGGCGGCUGUCUGGUCUGUAACUGACGCUGAGGCUCGAAAGUAUGGGUAGCAAACAGGAUUAGAUACCCUGGUAGUCCAUACCGUAAACGAUGAAUGCUAAGUGUUGGAGGGUUUCCGCCCUUCAGUGCUGCAGCUAACGCAUUAAGCAUUCCGCCUGGGGAGUACGGCCGCAAGGCUGAAACUCAAAGGAAUUGACGGGGGCCCGCACAAGCGGUGGAGCAUGUGGUUUAAUUCGAAGCUACGCGAAGAACCUUACCAGGUCUUGACAUACUAUGCAAAUCUAAGAGAUUAGACGUUCCCUUCGGGGACAUGGAUACAGGUGGUGCAUGGUUGUCGUCAGCUCGUGUCGUGAGAUGUUGGGUUAAGUCCCGCAACGAGCGCAACCCUUAUUAUCAGUUGCCAGCAUUAAGUUGGGCACUCUGGUGAGACUGCCGGUGACAAACCGGAGGAAGGUGGGGAUGACGUCAAAUCAUCAUGCCCCUUAUGACCUGGGCUACACACGUGCUACAAUGGAUGGUACAACGAGUUGCGAACUCGCGAGAGUAAGCUAAUCUCUUAAAGCCAUUCUCAGUUCGGAUUGUAGGCUGCAACUCGCCUACAUGAAGUCGGAAUCGCUAGUAAUCGCGGAUCAGCAUGCCGCGGUGAAUACGUUCCCGGGCCUUGUACACACCGCCCGUCACACCAUGAGAGUUUGUAACACCCAAAGUCGGUGGGGUAACCUUUUAGGAACCAGCCGCCUAAGGUGGGACAGAUGAUUAGGGUGAAGUCGUAACAAGGUAGCCGUAGGAGAACCUGCGGCUGGAUCACCU